rnacentral:rRNA from 1 species
AGAAAAGCACCCCGAGAGGGAGUGAAAUAGAACCUGAAACCGUGUGCCUACAAGCACUGAGAGCACGACGCCGUAAGGCCGUGUGAUCGGGUACCUUUUGCAUAAUGGCCCUACGAGUUACGUUCGUGGCGAGGUUAAGCCGUAAGGUGGAGCCGGAGGGAAACCAAGUCCGAAUAGGGCGAAAGUCGCGGGGCGUAGACCCGAAGCCCGACGAUCUAUCCAUGGCCAGGUUGAAACGCGGGUAAUACCGCGCGGAGGACCGAACCCACCUUAGUUGAAAAUAAGGGGGAUGAGCUGUGGAUCGGAGUGAAAGGCUAAUCAAGUCGGGGAAUAGCUGGUUCUCCUCGAAAUAUAUUGAGGUAUAGCCUCGGAUGAAUACCCGCGGGGGUAGAGCACUGAAUGGGCUAGGGGACCUACCAGUCUACCAAACCCAAUCAAACUCCGAAUACCGCGAAGUAGUGUCCGGGAGUCAGGCAGCGGGAGAUAAGUUCCGUUGCCGAGAGGGAAAGAGCCCAGACCGUCAGCUAAGGUCCCAAAGUCUGUGCUUAGUGUCAAAGGAUGUGGAGGC